rnacentral:rRNA from 1 species
AACGCGAAGAACCUUACCUGGACUCGAAAUUUUGUUGACCGUCUCAGAGAUGAGGCUUUCCCGCAAGGGACAGCAGAAUAGGUGCUGCAUGGCUGUCGUCAGCUCGUGUCGUGAGAUGUUGGGUUAAGUCCCGCAACGAGCGCAACCCUCACCCUUAGUUGCUCGUCCGCAAGGAAAGCACCCUAAGGGAACUGCCUCGGAUAACGGGGAGGAAGGUGGGGAUGACGUCAAGUCCUCAUGGCCUUUAUGCCCAGGGCUACACACGUGCUACAAUGGCCGGUACAAACCGUUGCUAACCCGCGAGGGGGAGCCAAUCGGAAAAAACCGGUCUCAGUUCGGAUUGCAGGCUGCAACUCGCCUGCAUGAAGCUGGAAUCGCUAGUAAUCACGUAUCAGAACGACGUGGUGAAUACGUUCCCGGGCCUUGUACACACCGAGACGAC